UACGUAGGGUGCAAGCGUUUGUCCGGAAUUAUUGGGCGUAAAGAGCUCGUAGGCGGUUUGUCGCGUCUGCUGUGAAAACCCGAGGCUCAACCUCGGGCCUGCAGUGGGUACGGGCAGACUAGAGUGCGGUAGGGGGAGAUUGGAAUUCCUGGUGUAGCGGUGGAAUGCGCAGAUAUCAGGAGGAACACCAAUGGCGAAGGCAGAUCUCUGGGCCGUAACUGACGCUGAGGAGCGAAAGCAUGGGGGAGCGAACAGG
rnacentral:rRNA from 1 species